GGUAAAAUGGCUGAACUAUAGGCGAUAAAUUGUAAAUUUAUUUAUAAGAAUUAUUCUUUUUUACU
rnacentral:tRNA from 1 species